rnacentral:rRNA from 2 species
CUUUCAACAACGGAUCUCUUGGUUCUGGCAUCGAUGAAGAACGCAGCGAAAUGCGAUAAGUAAUGUGAAUUGCAGAAUUCAGUGAAUCAUCGAAUCUUUGAACGCACAUUGCGCCCCUCGGUAUUCCGGGGGG